UACGUAGGUGGCAAGCGUUGUCCGGAUUUACUGGGUGUAAAGGGCGUGCAGCCGGGAAGACAAGUCAGAUGUGAAAUGCCGAGGCUCAACCUCGGAGCUGCAUUUGAAACUGUUUUUCUUGAGUACUGGAGAGGCAGACGGAAUUCCUAGUGUAGCGGUGAAAUGCGUAGAUAUUAGGAGGAACACCAGUGGCGAAGGCGGUCUGCUGGACAGCAACUGACGGUGAGGCGCGAAAGCGUGGGGAGCAAACAGG
rnacentral:rRNA from 1 species